rnacentral:rRNA from 1 species
GGGAAACUGCCUGAUGGAGGGGGAUAACUACUGGAAACGGUAGCUAAUACCGCAUAACGCCGCAAGACCAAAGAGGGGGACCUUCGGGCCUCUUGCCAUCAGAUGUGCCCAGAUGGGAUUAGCUAGUAGGUGGGGUAACGGCUCACCUAGGCGACGAUCCCUAGCUGGUCUGAGAGGAUGACCAGCCACACUGGAACUGAGACACGGUCCAGACUCCUACGGGAGGCAGCAGUGGGGAAUAUUGCACAAUGGGCGCAAGCCUGAUGCAGCCAUGCCGCGUGUAUGAAGAAGGCCUUCGGGUUGUAAAGUACUUUCAGCGAGGAGGAAGGUGUUGAGGUUAAUAACCUCAGCAAUUGACGUUACUCGCAGAAGAAGCACCGGCUAACUCCGUGCCAGCAGCCGCGGUAAUACGGAGGGUGCAAGCGUUAAUCGGAAUUACUGGGCGUAAAGCGCACGCAGGCGGUCUGUCAAGUCGGAUGUGAAAUCCCCGGGCUCAACCUGGGAACUGCAUUCGAAACUGGCAGGCUAGAGUCUUGUAGAGGGGGGUAGAAUUCCAGGU